AGUUUGAUCCUGGCUCAGGAUGAACGCUGGCGGCGCGCCUAACACAUGCAAGUCGAACGGCACCUAUCUUCGGAUAGAAGCGAGUGGCGAACGGCUGAGUAACACGUGGAGAACCUGCCCCCUCCCCCGGGAUAGCCGCCCGAAAGGACGGGUAAUACCGGAUACCCCGGGGUGCCGCAUGGCGCCCCGGCUAAAGCCCCGACGGGAGGGGAUGGCUCCGCGGCCCAUCAGGUAGACGGCGGGGUGACGGCCCACCGUGCCGACAACGGGUAGCCGGGUUGAGAGACCGACCGGCCAGAUUGGGACUGAGACACGGCCCAGACUCCUACGGGAGGCAGCAGUGGGGAAUCUUGCGCAAUGGGGGGAACCCUGACGCAGCGACGCCGCGUGCGGGACGGAGGCCUUCGGGUCGUAAACCGCUUUCAGCAGGGAAGAGUCAAGACUGUACCUGCAGAAGAAGCCCCGGCUAACUACGUGCCAGCAGCCGCGGUAAUACGUAGGGGGCGAGCGUUAUCCGGAUUCAUUGGGCGUAAAGCGCGCGUAGGCGGCCCGGCAGGCCGGGGGUCGAAGCGGGGGGCUCAACCCCCCGAAGCCCCCGGAACCUCCGCGGCUUGGGUCCGGUAGGGGAGGGUGGAACACCCGGUGUAGCGGUGGAAUGCGCAGAUAUCGGGUGGAACACCGGUGGCGAAGGCGGCCCUCUGGGCCGAGACCGACGCUGAGGCGCGAAAGCUGGGGGAGCGAACAGGAUUAGAUACCCUGGUAGUCCCAGCCGUAAACGAUGGACGCUAGGUGUGGGGGGACGAUCCCCCCGUGCCGCAGCCAACGCAUUAAGCGUCCCGCCUGGGGAGUACGGCCGCAAGGCUAAAACUCAAAGGAAUUGACGGAAGGAGUUUG
rnacentral:rRNA from 1 species